ACCACCCACAACUCGCACUGCCCCACCCCCACCUGCCAGCCUAGAGGGAACCACCCUCUGCCCCCUGCCCCCUGCCUCCUGCCCUGGGAGGCCUCCACCAGACAGCCUGCCUCCGCUCCUGGAGACUUUUUAGAGCUCCCUGGAGCGCAGGGCGACUUGGCCCUGGAGCAUUGACUGGGGACAGCUGCAGCGGGGGAGGGGACAUGAGGCUCUCGCGUGGAGGAGGGUAAAGGACAGUGGCCUGGGCCAAAGUGCCCCCCCCAUGCCACACCCUUCAAACUCCCAACUCUUGGAGCUGCGGAAUUGAAGAAUGUCGCACCUUGGCAGAAGUAACUAGGCUGUCCCACCCUGGGGCAACCAGAAAGUUCUUCAGUCAGAGAAGGUUUGGGGGACCAUGGUACCCACCCCAUUUUACAGAUGUGGCCACUGAGGACCAGAAAAGAGAAGGCACUUGCCCAGGGCCGCACAGCUGGAGCUAGAACCCAGCUUCAGAACUGCCCCACACUCCCCUGGUCAUCGGCUCCCCGCUAUCCCCGGACUUUGGGGUGGGGUCCCACACUCACACAAGCCAUAACUGAGGCCUAGAGGAUGCUCCCGGGGUCUGCUGCACGGGCUAAGGACUCCUCGGAGAGAUGGGCCCAGCCGCACCCACCCUUUUAACUGGACCGGACCCGGUCUCAACUUUGCCCUUGCCCCCCUCCCAGACCGAGUUCAUCUUCCUGGGGGCGUGGCAGCUCAUCUGUGAGGACUCCCUGUCCCCACUGGUCCCUAACGCGAGAUAGGCGGGCUCUCAGGGAGACCCAGAAAGAGGCCCUUGCAAAGGACCCAGAUCUAGGCGCAUGAGCGGCCCUUGGGUCAGAGGAACAAAGGCGCCAGUGAGCGCGUGUCCAGAUCGCCUGGAACAGAAGCAGAGUCAACUUAAAUGUCACCAUAGGCUCAAAGGCCUACCCGGCGUGCCCAUGACUGACAGGCUGGACUGCUCCACCAGGAAGAGACAUUCUGACCCCAAAUGCCAAAGCAUCGACGGGGGAUUCUAUGUUCGCAGAAGUUUUCUGGAAACCUGGCUUUUCUUCCCGGGAAAAUCCUACAUACAGUCAAUAGCUCUGCCCUGGGGGCACCAUCAUCUCCCCUGAAGGAGGGGUCUGGGCCCCCUGUCUUUGGGCAAUUAGUCAAAAACCUGGGCCGAGUUGAGGGCUCAUUGCCUCCUUGGAAGGAUCUUCUCAGAUCCCUGUCUGUGACAUUCCUUUGGCAAUCCAGAUGGGACUCGAACUGAGGAACUACCUGUGAAUAGCACCUGGGAUACGAGUCGGGAGACUCCUCAGUGCCUCACCCACACAGCGCUAAGGGAAGCGCCCAGCUUACCAGGACGCGACUUCUCUGAAGAAGAUGCCCUCCCCUAGGCUUCGUGUAAUGGACCAGUGCCGCCUCCCCUGGCAUGGGCGAGGGCCUUGUUUCGUUCCUCAUGCCCACGUCGUGUGUCCUUUCUUCUCUGAAGAAGUCUGUUUCAGCGCUCACUCGGAUGAGAUUAGACUUUGAGCCUAAAGACUCAACUGCGGUGGCUCGAACUGGCUCUGGUUUUCAUAAUUUUGGGAACGGGAACUCAAAAGCGUUGGAGUGUCCCCUGAGUACUCAGGGUGUCUCCAGGGACGCCUGGAGCAAAUGUCGCCGCUGGAGGAAGGGGUCACCCUCUGGCCAUUUGGUGGCUGAACUCGGGUACAGGCACCCACCAGGACUUGUGUCCCACAGUCCCACCACCGGCAGGUUCGGAAUUCUUCCAUCUUGUUAAGAUAAGGGAGAUCCAACAUCUAUUCCUGUAAACUCACUUCAGAUUUAUAUAGUAAGUCAUUGAAAUGACUAUAUCCAGAGCACAGAUCUCGAAAGGCUCCAAAAGGCACAGCCAUAGAUCACGUGAUUAAUAGAAGGCAUGAGAAAAAUCUAUGAGCGACCAGUCAGCUAUGAUCAAGUCCAGGAGCUCCUCGGGAAAAGGGUGUCCCACGUAUCCGCCCCGUGCUCGGUGCCUUGCUAUCUCCUUUCACCACAUCACCCCCUACUUGGUGGCUGCCAUUGGGUGGAACUUCUGCAAGAGGAAGUCAGUCAGAAGAGCGAGAAGACAGGCCACCUGGAUGUGGGAGCGGCCUGGCUGCAGGUCUGUGGUGUCUCUGAAUCUGUCUCCAGGCCUGGACAGUGGGAAUGUGGCAGUACAGGUGUGAUGUGUGAGGAUGUUUCCUUCCCUCCCGUGGCCAAGGCCAGGCCCCUGCCCCAGGGAUUGUCUGCUCUACUCCACACCCUGCAGGAGCGGCUGGGAACCCCAUCCCCGCAGCCUGGGUUUGCCUGCUGCUGUGAGAAAUGAAUUCCACUUGUCCAGAUGGAAUCUGGGCCAGUGGGGCCCUUCCAGCCUGGCCCCGACGGAGGCUCUACUUCCUCCAGCUGGCACUGGCUGGGAGGGUGGAAGCCGCAGAGGCGCCGUCCACUCCCCCAGCUAAGCUGGCUGCCCCAGCCAGCCGCAGUCCUAGAUAUCAGUGGGGAGGGACCCCGGAGGAGAUAGCCUGACCUGCUCCCUACUUCCUUCCAGCACUAGGGGUUGAACCCAGAGGCAUUUAACCACUGAGUCACAUCCCCAGCCCUUUUUUUUGUAUUUUAUUUAGA